rnacentral:rRNA from 1 species
UACGGAGGGUGCAAGCGUUAUCCGGAUUCACUGGGUUUAAAGGGUGCGUAGGUGGGCAGGUAAGUCAGCGGUGAAAUCCCCGAGCUUAACUUGUGAACUGCCAUUGAUACUAUCUGUCUUGAAUACCUUGGAGGUGAGCGGAAUAUGUCAUGUAGCGGUGAAAUGCUUAGAUAUGACAUAGAACACCAAUUGCGAAGGCAGCUCACUACACGGUCAUUGACACUGAGGCACGAAAGCGUGGGGAUCAAACAGG